GCGGCCUCUCUAGGAAACUGGGAGGCCCAACGUCUCUGCUUCUCUCCGGCUCCAAUGCGGCGGGCGGCGGGGCUUGUCCAACAUCCCUCACCUCCCUCAGUUGGACACUUCCCUUCCACGCUCGGAUGCCCAGCCGCGCCUGUUUUCUUGCAUCCUUCCUGUCGUGUCUGCGGGGCUGCCCUGAAGGCCUCUUUCCCUCCAGGGAAGAAAGGGAUCCAAAGCUAGGGGUGAAAAUAGGGCCAGCAGUAUCUAGCAGACUGGUCCUGGCCAGGAGAAGGGGUUAAGGAAGCCACUCAUUCUUCGCCUGGGUACACUUCAAAGAGGGGAACCAGAUCCUACGGGAAGCUAGGUGCCAGAACUCCUGCCUUUCCAAGACGAGCUCAUCCCCAUCAUCACCAUACCCAGGAAUACUUGUUCAUAGCCAGCUCAGAGGUGCACCAUACUUUAGCUUCCCACGGCCUUCACUCGUUUUCUCCUGUGGGUGAAUUCUAACUAGGCUCGCCUGUCACCAAAGAUGGAAACAGAGAAUAGAUCUUGAACACCAGGAAGACGGUGACGAGGUGAUAGAGAAACAGAUGGCACAUUCAAACAAGGGCCCUGAAGUGAUCCUCCUCCUGUUCACUGACACCCAUUGCCAAGAGAGAGAGAAAAAAAGAGAGAGAGAGAGAAGCAGAAGAGAGGAGAGGGUGCUGGCCUUAUUAGAGAAAGAAUGUAAGGGGAAAGAAAACAAUCAUGUUAGCUUUGAUUUCUGUAAUAAGUCUGUAUCACAGACAGGCUUAGAAAGCAAAGCUUUGGCAUUACAAGAGCCCAUGAGGGAGCAAAGCUCUCUUAUAGAAAGUCUGAGGCCAGGCACAGUGGCUCACACCUGUAAUCCCAGCAAUUUGGGAGGCCGAGGCGGGCGGAUCACAAGGUCAGGAGAUCCAGACCAUCCUGACUAACACGGUGAAACCCCGUCUCUACUAAAAAUACAAAAAAAUUAGCUGGGCGUGGUGGCGGGUGCCUGUAGUCCCAGCUACUCGGGAGGCUGAAGCAGGAGAAUGGCGUGAACCCGGGAGGCGGAGCUUGCAGUGAGCCGAGAUCACGCCACUGCACUCCAGCCUGGGCGGCAGAGCAAGACUCCGUCUCAAAAAAAAAAAAAAAAAAGAAAAGAAAAGAAAAAAAAGUCUGGAGGUGGAAGUUCCAAGACUUGAGACAACUAAUAGAAUUAGUUCAUGAUGUGUUAUCAUUCCAAUGGCACCAACAACUCACUCACCACCUGUGCCCCAGGCAAACCUGCUCCUCCUGCUUUCCUUAUUCUCUAUCUGAAGAAAGAAGUAGGAAGUGUCAGUAUGGGUACUGGAAGCCACAUCUAUCUAUACUCAUUCAUUCUUUCAUUCACAAAGAAUUUACUGAUUAUGCACUAUGUGCUAGAUACUGUUCCCGACCUGGGGUAUAUCAGUCACCAGGUGUCAAGCAACUGACACCUGUUUCCACCUCCAACAGAGAAGUCCCACUGGGUAGAGGACAGCAGAGCAUAAAAAUGAGUACCACCAAAACCAGCAGUCCUACGAUGUUAAGCCACUGCAGGGUUUGAAGGUUUGGGGGUUGUCAAGAAAGACAAGACUUACACAAGCACUGGAUGGAACAUUUUACUCACACAGAGAAGAGACAGAGUAAGAUCAGCUUCAAUAGGGAGCAUUGGUUCCCCGUGGCCAGUGGGACUUGCCCUGCAACCAGGACAGACAGAUGGUCUGCAUACACUCUUUGUGUGUUGCCUGGGAGGGACCCCAUUCCCUUCCCAGUGAGAACAGAUACAGCAGUGGGGUUGGGCUGGUACCAUAUGAUGCACAUGUUUAAGCAGAACAAAGAAGUACAUGUCAAACCUGGAACAGGAAAAGAUAUUGCCAAACAGGGCAGUGAGCCC